UCCUUCGGGGUGUGUGGGGACUCCUCCCUCGGGGUGUGUGGGGACUCCUCUCUCAGGGUGUGUGGGGACUCCUCCCUCAGGGUAUGUGGGGACUCUUCCUGGCAGUCUUCCUUCAUGCUAUGUGGGUAGUUGUUUAUUGCCAGGUGGACAUUUUGCCUUAAGUAAUUCAAUCUUUCUGCCUGGGUAUUUAUAAGAUUUCUUUUUAUUCUAGCAUUCAGGAACUUUAUCAAGCAUCAUAUUCUCAUUCGAUCUCUCUCUCCUCUCCACCAACCCCUCCCAUGGUGUAUGUGUGUUCAACCUAGCCUGAAAUUGAAUGAGCAGACUCCAGGCUUUUCCUUAAUUCAGAUAAAGUUUUCUGCCUUAACCUAGUGAAUAACUUUUCCCACUUAUUCCCCUUUCUCCUUCUGAGACUCCCAUUAUGUGUUUAUUAAUUUUCAGAUCUUCCCUCUUGACUCUGCUCUGUACUUGAGACGGCUCCUGUCCUUGUACGAGCAUCUGCUUUUAAAGCCAACAUUUGAGAUUAUACUCCAGGGGCUGGAGAGAGGGCUCAACACUUAGGAGCUCCUGUAGAAGAUCCAGGCUUAGUUCCCAGCACCCACGUGGUGGUUCACAACUGCGUGAUCUGAACAUCUCCUCGGCUUUGUGGAAGCUUUGUUGUGGGGAUUACUAAGACAAUACUGACGACGGGGGACUUCUGGUCAACCUGUAUGCAUCCCUUGAUCUUACGUGAGCUUUAAAGUGUGUCCUUUAUGAGGUCAAAUAUAAAGAACAUCGUUUAUAAAACCAUUUCAAACGAGGCAGUCUGACCAUCCAAGCACCAGAGGUUAAACAGAGAACUCCAGAAAUCAGUCUUUGAUUCACUGUGACAACUUCCAGGGAACAGUGACAAGCCUAUCCCAAAACAUCUUCAGCUUGGGAGACUCCUGCAGUCCCUGAGAGGGAGUCUUCCGGCUUUGCUCUGUGUUUGAGAAGCAACAGUGUGAUUGAUUGCAUGGAAACUCUGCUUCCUUCAGCUGCUAACACCACACUGACUCUACCGUUGGAAGGGGUGGACUCAUAUCAUCAAUAUCAUUUAGGAUGCAUCCCAAGUCUAAAGAUCCCUAUUCAGUCCUUAAAAAGCUUUUGAGUCA